ensembl:snoRNA
UGGUCAUUACCAAGGCUGAUAGAAUGCAGUUUCUAAUUUGUUGUGGACAUGACCAUAAAAAAAUUUCCCACUAGGUUUUCAUUGUAUAUGCUACAUUGUUAGCAAUCAGCCUAUUGGGAACACUU